CUGACAAUGGCCAGGCAGAAAAAGGCUGCAGGGCUGGGGCACUCUCAGAGACCCCCAGGGCUUUGCUGCAGCAAGUCUCUUCUCAAGGUCUCCUCUUUAGGACUGAAAGAGAACUCAGAUUCCCGUAUGUGAGGGUCUUUGGAAAUAUCUUCUUGGAGGGGCAGAGAAGGUCAUUCCUCCAAACAGCAACUCUGGCUAUCUACGACCCCUGCUCCAGAUCAGUCAGGCUUGGCUGGUCCUAGCAUACUCCAUUCUGGGGGAAGCCAACCAGCUAAUAGGCGAUGAGCAGGCGGACAUCUUGGCCAAGGUAAUGCACCAGUUCCACACCAUCAGUUCCUUUUGCUAGCUGCCUGAGGUAGUGCAGGGGCUGUGCUUCUUGGUACGCCUGUGAUGGGGUGUAUGAGAAAUUAGAUCGCAGUCCAGGGCCACUGUGAUCCCACCCCACUGAAACUGCAGAACCUGCUCCAGAUGGAGGAGGAGUGUGGUGAAGCAGAGAAACCACCCACCAGCACAGAAGGGGUUAAGGAGAGCCUUUGGACCCAACCAGCCCUGCAUCAUUAUACUUGCAGCUAAUGCCAGGCGAGUAGGGGAGAGAAAAGGAGAGAACCUGACUCAGUUUGGGGCUGACUGGUGAAGAGACAGGACCUAGCUGCCUCCCCAACUGAGGGAAGGAUCACUAGCCUGCCAGCCAAGGCAGCCACCAGGAACCCAGCACUGUCUUCUGGAUCAAAGGAGAUGGGGAAAGAGUCCUAGGAGCACCCAGCCUUAGAGGAACCUGGGUGACAGAAGUACAGAGUCCUUGUGGGGGUUCUGACCCCACCAAACUUACAGCUACCCCACCUGGAGGAACCUGGGACCUCAGCAGGAUAGCCACCACAGGCACUUGGAUUAUAGGGGCCAUGCCCCAAACUGAAGGGGCAACAGUAGGAAGUAGCUCAGGACACCAAAUGUAGACUUCCCCUAGGGAGAUCUCCUACUCCGGGGUUAACUUACACAGGGCUCUAGGUUGGGACCUGGUGGAGUGGGAGGUCCUGGGUUCCCCUACUGCCCUGUGCCUUAAAGACUGAGGCACCUUGACGACAGAAGCAGGAGGCAGGAAGCCACGUACUACAACCACUAGACCAACUGACCCUCCAAAUCCUCUGUUUACAAGGCGUUUAGAGGACAGCUCAGAAGUGAGAGAGAUAGCAGAGAACAAGAGACUUAUCUUGGGAGCGCCUGAACAAGGGUGCAGCAGGAGUCUUGGCUGCAGGAAUGGUUUUGCUAGCAGCAGCUACCCCAGGCCUGAGAGAAGGGGCUAGCCCUUCGCUAAGACUAGGCUCUAACUUCUGGAGGAUCACUGGUAUGGCAUUUAACUAUAUGCCAAGAGGGAGGGCCCGGGCUCCCAUAUGAACCACCCUUUUUGUGGACUGGGAAUAAACCCUCUUUCCCUCCCUUGGAGAGGAAGAGAGGAUGGAGACAUUUUAACUCUCAGUCAAUAGUGUGCCACUCAAAGGCAACAUGUGGGUUCAAGACCCUUUCUUUUGUGGGGAUGUUGGACUGUAUGCAUUGUAUUGGAAUCUGGUGAAUUGGCCUUGUGGGUCAAGUCGCUAGCUACCAAAAGGUGGACUGCCACAGCAUUGGCGUGAUUGCUGGAGUGAGACCAGAGACAGGGGAGAGUUGACACCCAGGGACAUGACUAUUAGGUGGCAACCACACAUAGGCCUAUCCCCCAUCACAAUUUGGCAGAGAAAGCAGGCAGCAGGUCUGGAAUGUUGCCAUGAGGCCCCCAAAAGAGAAAAAGGAUAGAUCUGAAUGAAUGAAGUGGCUAUUAGACAGCGAACAACAACAGGCAGCCCCCACUGUAGCAACAACAGUAGCAUGUGGUACAACAAAUGGCUACCCAGGAGCAACAACAGGUGACAUAACAAGCAGCUCAUUCAGGAGUUGGCAGUGCAGCAAUAAGAACAGCAGCAAUGCAUUGUCCAACAAAUAGUUACCCUCUGUGAUGGGGUGUACUUGCCCCACACUGAACAGGGAAGGGUUAACUCCACACUGUGGGCUGAGGAAGCCAUGCCCCCUCAACUCUGCUGGGCAUGCUCCAACUGGAGCACCAGUAUAAAAAGGAGCAGCUCAGCUCAGUCAGGGCUGACCACUGAGGAUUGAGGACACACAUGGCCAGCUCCAACCCAGGAGCUGGAAGCCCCAGAUACUGGAAGCCAGGCCUACUGAGGCCUGGGCAGAUACCUGCUACCUGAAGAUACCCAAGGGAGGACAGAGAUGCUGAGAGCUGCACAGACUGAGAAACCGGAGACUCUGGAAACACCCACUCCAGUUCUUUAGGAUCUGAGGGAAUUAAGGACAGUCUCACAUACACCUCUACCUCGAUAUAACGCUGUCCUCGGGAGCCAAAAAAUCUUAACACGUUAUAGGUGAAACCGCAUUAUAUCAUACUUGCUUUGAUCCGCCGGAGCAUGACGCUCCGCCCCCCUGGAAUGCUGCUUUCCUGCGUUAUAUCCAAAUUCAUGUUAUAUUGGGUUGCGUUAUAUCGGGGUAGAGGUGUAUUUUUAAAAUGCAGUGCUUUUUUCCUGUUUACCCAGCUACGGCAGAUACUUUUCCCUCUUAUGCAAUCUUGCAAGUAAGCUUUUAUUUGGGGUGGAUAAGGGUGUUAAGAAAAGACAUAGCAAUUUAAUAGAUGGAGGUUCAAUAACCUACAAGAUGAAAAAUUUAAGUAUCAUGUCAUUCAGGAAACAAAGACAUGCAUUGAACUCCACAAAGGAGAAGAUAUAUCCCCUUCAUUCCUCUGGAAGGCAUUUAAACCUGUGCUAGAGAGCCAAAUAAUAUCACACUCUGCCCAUAAAAGAACAAGGAACAGUCAGUUAACAAAAGAUUAGAGUUAAAGGUAAUAUCGCUCUAGAGGCGAUGCACUGAAUCGCCUAGUACAAACCAGCUCAGCAGAGCUACA